AAUCCAUUCCACUACUAUACUAAAGUGACCCUCAAUGAUGAGACAGUCAACUCUCAAGAUUAGCCUCGCAUAAUUGAUGCCUACGUAGGCCACCUACAGCUCAGCAUCUAGAAUAGUGGGCUCAAAAAGAUGUCUACCGCCCAUGGCUACCAUCCUUGAAUUUAGUCUGUGGAUAACAAACUUAGCUCCUUUACUGCUCAUCACAUUGCCAUCAAAAUUGACCUUGAGAUACCUUGGAGGUUGGGGCUCCCAUGAGAUGAACACCCUACAGGUGGCUGCAUGAGCAGAGAGGGACUCCUAGGAAUCUGUGGUCCUCAAGACCAAAUCAAUUAAUAACGAGUGAGUACUUUCAGCAAUCUGACUCAAAACUCUUUCUAAGAAAAACCUCAUGCGUAGCCUUUUGAACUCGAACACUAUGUUGUUUCUAUUCAACC
rnacentral:lncRNA from 1 species